UACGUAGGGGGCUAGCGUUGUCCGGAUUUAUUGGGCGUAAAGAGCGUGUAGGCGGCCAGGUAGGUCUGGUGUGAAAACUCGAGGCUUAACCUCGAGAUGUCAUCGGAAACCAUCUGGCUAGAGUCCGGAAGAGGAGAGUGGAAUUCCCGGUGUAGUGGUGAAAUGCGUAGAUAUCGGGAGGAACACCAGUGGCGAAGGCGGCUUUCUGGUCUGCUCUUGACGCUGAGGCGCGAAAGCUAGGGUAGCAAACGGG
rnacentral:rRNA from 1 species